AUGAAGAAACCCCCAAUGCUGGCCAUGGUGGCACAAACCCACAACUUUGCAUGAGAGGCUGAGAUGAGGAGAUCCUAAACUGAGGUCAAUCUGGGCUAUCCAGUGAGACCCUGCCUCAAAACAAACAUGGUUUCUGUUGGACUUCUGGUUUGACCUGCAGCCAUCCUGUCAUGGAUGAUUGGAGAAGUGUGAGGAUAUUUGCAGUAGAUGCAGACAUUCAAGUGGAAGUGCUCUUCUUUCUCUUUAAAAAUCCCUGUGUGGGCUGGAGUAUGGAGGAGGCCCGUGGCUGGGGAGGAGGCUGGCCUUGGACUCUGGCGGGACUGACAGGCAGGAGCCACUGUACUUGGCCUCUUUCCUGGAGUCUCCGAUAGCUCCUGCCCUUCUUAUAAAAGCAAGUCUGCAUCAUUAGCGAAGCUGGAGGAAACCCACCAGUAAAGAAAGCUUAAAAUAACGUCACAGACCAGCCUUGGAGACGCCAUGCCUAGUCUCCAAAGCCCCAGCUGUGUUAUCACUGUCUUCAAAAAGAGAGCCAGACACUCCGACUGCGGCAGGAGAACUGAGGGUUCCCAGCCAGCCCGAGUCACAUGAGCCACACAGAAGAUUUUGUUUCAAGGAGUCACCCCCCCCACCCCAAAGAAAUAAAGCCGUUCCCUUUUCUGC